rnacentral:rRNA from 1 species
UACGGAGGAUGCAAGCGUUAUCCGGAAUGAUUGGGCGUAAAGCGUCCGCAGGUGGCUGUGUAAGUCUGCUGUUAAAGAGUGAGGCUCAACCUCAUAAAAGCAGUGGAAACUACACAGCUAGAGUGCGUUCGGGGCAGAGGGAAUUCCUGGUGUAGCGGUGAAAUGCGUAGAUAUCAGGAAGAACACCGGCGGCGAAAGCGCUCUGCUAGGCCGCAACUGACACUGAGGGACGAAAGCUAGGGGAGCGAAUGGG